GGUAGCACUCGUAUUCUAAUGUACUACCAGUUGUUUGUAACUACAGAACUUACAAUUGCUCUUAAGCUGGAACAUACUCAAGUAUCGGGUCAGCAGGGAAGUCCUCGUAUCCACUUAUGCCGGUAAUUCUUAACCUUGUGUUUGGCUGUCUGUGACCAAGUUUCCUCUGGUACUUCUUCUUCUUCUUAUAUUUGAAGACUAUCACUUUAUCAUCCCGUCCCUGUUCCUCAACCACUGCAUGAACAGCAGCAUUGGUCACCACUGGCAUGCCAAUGUAAGCCUUGUCUCUAGUUGAUACCAGUAAUACCUUGUUUAAUAUUAUCUGAUCAUUGACAUUGGCGCCUUUCAGCCUCUGCGUGUAUAUAUACCUUCCAGGCAUCACAAUGUACUGUCUCGACCCAAUCAUGACAACGGCGAAGAUGUCGGCGUCCUUCCCGGCGCCCGCGGCUGCGAU
rnacentral:misc_RNA from 1 species